rnacentral:rRNA from 1 species
ACUCCUGCGGGAGGCAGCAGUGGGGAAUUUUGGACAAUGGGCGAAAGCCUGAUCCAGCCAUGCCGCGUGCAGGAUGAAGGCCUUCGGGUUGUAAACUGCUUUUGUACGGAACGAAACGGCCUUUUCUAAUAAAGAGGGCUAAUGACGGUACCGUAAGAAUAAGCACCGGCUAACUACGUGCCAGCAGCCGCGGUAAUACGUAGGGUGCAAGCGUUAAUCGGAAUUACUGGGCGUAAAGCGUGCGCAGGCGGUUAUGUAAGACAGUUGUGAAAUCCCCGGGCUCAACCUGGGAACUGCAUCUGUGACUGCAUAGCUAGAGUACGGUAGAGGGGGAUGGAAUUCCGCGUGUAGCAGUGAAAUGCGUAGAUAUGCGGAGGAACACCGAUGGCGAAGGCAAUCCCCUGGACCUGUACUGACGCUCAUGCACGAAAGCGUGGGGAGCAAACAGGAUUAGAAACCCGAGUAGUCCCAUGA